AGAUUGGACAGCUACAGUAUUUCUAAAUAUUUUUGAUGAGUCUUUGUUAAACAAAGAUUCAAGAUUCCUAGGAUAAUUUUUGAUGGAACCAUCUGGUUCUUCAUUGGUUGGAUAGUAAAAGUCAUAGUUACUUGUGCAAACGAUUUCGGAGCCAGGUAUUCUAGAAGGAGGCACUAUUCUUACAAAGGGGCUCGUAAUUGGGAUAUUUAUAUUGCCCCAGGCAACAAAUCCAGCAUGCUUACCUGGCUCUGUAUAUGUAGUAUACAAAACGCCAUUUGAAAACUUAUCAUUAGGAACUAACAUGGGGAAAAACCCUCCGAAUCCAGCGGGGGGCGUCCAGAAAGAUGACAAUCCUGAGCUCUGCUUUGAAAAUUCAUAGCUUAGGGUGAUAUUUGCAGAGAAUUCAAUUACAGGAAUGUCGGUUCCAUGAGAAUUUGUGCCAGGAACAACUUCAGAAUAAUCUACACUAAUUUUAAAUGGGAAUGAUGUUGCCUUAAAUAAAUAUGUAGAAAUUCCAACUUUAUCCAUAACGUCUUCUCCAAAUAUUGUGGGAUCAAACUGGUACUUAACAUCCCUAUCCAUUAUUUGGGGAAUCUUAUCUGGAAGUUGUUCAUUAAAUUCUUUAACAAUAUUCACGAGUUUCGAUCCUUCUAACCAAAUUGUAAUAUUGUUUGCUCCAUUAAAUAUUGUAUACGUAGUUUCACUUUCCAUCAGAGCUUGUGCAAUAUCAGUACAAGCCUUGACAACUUUUACUGUAUCUACACCUAAUUGGAACUUCUGUAAGCUUUUUUGUAAUGAAACUGAAUCACAAAUAAUAUUUUUAAUUGGAGUCAUGCCACUUUUUGGAUAAGACCCAAUAAACUGUAUUGUUAUUGGAUGCAUAAAUUGGCAUGGGCUUACAAAAUUGGUUACUUGACUAUCUAUAGAAAGAAAGUUACCUACUCCCGGCCCAAUGAAUAGAGAUGCCAAAUUAAAUCCGAUAGGGUAGUAGUAAACUCUGUCAGGCGGACCGUUCAUAUCUAUGUUUGCAUUGGCCAUACCAAACAUAAAUAUUUUAAAGCUUACGAAUGAAAGCAGAAGUAAAAUGAACUGCAAACACUUUAGUCGUCUUAUCUUCAUCUUAAAAAACGAGGGCAUCAAAAAGAAUCCUAUAUUGUCCAUAUUACUGGAAUUAUUCUCCAAAAUCACCAGUAUUUUACCCCUCUAUCAAGAAAGAAUACCUUUAAUCUCCACCACACAUUUUUACACAAUUAUGCUACUUGACACAAUAGCUGAUUUUAAAUAACUAAGGAAAGUUAUGGAGCCAUAUUAAUCAAUGUAAAAUAUGUUUGGCUAAAAAAAAAUAAUAUGUUUAUUACAAUUUGAGGUGCAAUAUCACAAUUACAAUAAAUUGAAGGUAAAUAAAAGUUAAAAUACAAUAGUUUUUAUAGGAACAGUGUUUCGUUAUCAUUAUUGAAAUAAGCAAUGGG
rnacentral:antisense_RNA from 1 species